UACAGGGGUCUCAAGCGUUGUUCGGAUUCAUUGGGCGUAAAGGGUGCGUAGGCGGCGCGGUAAGUCGGGUGUGAAAUCUCGGGGCUUAACUCCGAAACUGCAUUCGAUACUGCCGUGCUUGAGGACUGGAGAGGAGACUGGAAUUUACGGUGUAGCGGUGAAAUGCGUAGAUAUCAGGAAGAACACCGGUGGCGAAGGCGGCUCUCUGGGCCUUACCUGACACUGAGGGACGAAAGCUAGGGGAGCGAAAGGG
rnacentral:rRNA from 1 species